rnacentral:rRNA from 1 species
GAUGAACGCUGGCGGCGUGCCUAAUACAUGCAAGUCGAGCGAACGGACGAGAAGCUUGCUUCUCUGAUGUUAGCGGCGGACGGGUGAGUAACACGUGGAUAACCUACCUAUAAGACUGGGAUAACUUCGGGAAACCGGAGCUAAUACCGGAUGAUAUUUUGAACCGCAUGGUUCAAAAGUGAAAGACGGUCUUGCUGUCACUUAUAGAUGGAUCCGCGCUGCAUUAGCUAGUUGGUAAGGUAACGGCUUACCAAGGCAACGAUGCAUAGCCGACCUGAGAGGGUGAUCGGCCACACUGGAGCUGGGACACGGUCCAGACUCCUACGGGAGGCAGCAGUAGGGAAUCUUCCGCAAUGGGCGAAAGCCUGACGGAGCAAGGCCGAGUGAGUGAUAGAGGUCUUCGGAGCGUAAAACUCUGUUAUUAGGGAAGAACAUAUGUGUAAGUAACUGUGCAGAUCUUGACGGUACCUAAUCAGAAAGCCACGGCUAACUACGUG